UACAGAGGUCCCAACCGUUGUUCGGAUUCAUUGGGCGUAAAGGGCGCGUAGGCGGCGUGGUAAGUCACUUGUGAAAUCUCUGAGCUUAACUCAGAACGGCCAAGUGAUACUGCUGUGCUAGAGUGCAGAAGGGGCAAUCGGAAUUCUUGGUGUAGCGGUGAAAUGCGUAGAUAUCAAGAGGAACACCUGAGGUGAAGACGGGUUGCUGGGCUGACACUGACGCUGAGGCGCGAAAGCCAGGGGAGCAAACGGG
rnacentral:rRNA from 1 species